UACGUAGGGUGCAAGCGUUGUCCGGAAUUAUUGGGCGUAAAGAGCUCGUAGGCGGUCUGUCACGUCGGCUGUGAAAACCCGGGGCUCAACCCCGGGCCUGCAGUCGAUACGGGCAGACUAGAGUGCGGUAGGGGAGACUGGAAUUCCUGGUGUAGCGGUGAAAUGCGCAGAUAUCAGGAGGAACACCGGUGGCGAAGGCGGGUCUCUGGGCAGUAACUGACGCUGAGGAGCGAAAGCCAGGGGAGCAAACGGG
rnacentral:rRNA from 1 species